GACGAACGCUGGCGGCGUGCUUAACACAUGCAAGUCGAGCGGUAAGGCCCUUUCGGGGGUACACGAGCGGCGAACGGGUGAGUAACACGUGGGUGACCUGCCCUCAGCUCUGGGAUAAGCCUGGGAAACUGGGUCUAAUACCGGAUAUGACUCCAUGACGCAUGUUGUGGGGUGGAAAGCCUUGUGCGGCUGAGGAUGGGCCCGCGGCCUAUCAGCUUGUUGGUGGGGUGANGGCCUACCAAGGCGACGACGGGUAGCCGGCCUGAGAGGGCGA
rnacentral:rRNA from 1 species